CCGCUAUCACACCAGUCGACCCAAGAAAAAGUGAAUGAAAACUUUGAUCAUCUCAUCUCCAUUGUGCUAUGUACUCCAUCCCAAAUCUCCUGAUGUGGAAUAUCAUCCUCACAUGUCUUCUUACAUAAUGGGCCAGGGUUAUGCGAUGAAAAGUCAGUAGAAGUAGGACAAGUUGGCUGAAGUUCUGCUUGAAAACUGGUAAUAGAAAAUACAAUUUCUCAACCCGCUUUGGCCUUUUAAUUCUGUUCUACAACCUUGCCAGUUCACUUUCAAAGUCAAGGGAUGCAUCUUGCAAAACCAUGACAUCUUUUGAGUAACUCCUUCUGUUCUUAACACAUAUUCCCAGGAGCUUAAUAAAUAUUGUUUUUGCAACUUGUUUAGUGGCAAAAUAAUGAGUCCUUGGUGUAUGCUUAUCCUCUGCUUUGCUAUUAGAGAAGAUAUAUUCAGACUGUUUUAAACAAAUUAAUUCAAGGGCAGGGAACAGUCCUAAAACCUGUUAAAAUUCAAAUACUUGGUCACUGUAUGUGCAGCAUGUGUGUUCUAGAAAGUCCUAUUAUUUUAAAAUAUAAAUUGAAUCUUGUUGAGAAAUUAAUGUCAUAUGAAUAUAUUAAUAACUGAAAUGCUGCCAAGUUUACAAAAAGCCCUCAAUGAAACUGUGACCUUGUAUAGACAAGGGCCUGUGGAGGGACAUUUUUAAACCAUCUCUUUUUUUAUUUCCUCAUGAGAUCUACAAUGUAAGUGCAUUAAAGUUGAUGAAUGAAUUGCAGUGCAACUUUUCCUGCCUCUUUUGCCUUUCAUUUGUCUAUAUUUCAAGCUUCACUGAAGUGAUAGAUUUUGGGCUUUGCCACAUUGUCCUCUGAUUGCUUCCCUCUGCUCCUCCUUUUCCUAGUGAAUCUUUGUUUUACUGGUGGAAAAAUCUACAUCUUUGUAUCUUGGCAUUUUACUUUCACAUUAUCUCAUAGAUUUUAUUUCAAGUUGCUAUAAAGUUAUCAACUUUUAUUUUUAACUAAUAUUAUUUUUAACAAUUAGAAAAUUGUUGACCAGGUAAUUCCAGCACUUUGGGAAGCUGAAGCGGGAGGAUCACGUGAGCCCAGGAGCUCGAGACCAGCCUGGGCAAUGCAAGGAGACUGUCUCUACAAAAUAUAAAAAUACAUUAGCCAGGUUUGGCGGUGCAUGCCUGGGGUCCAGCUAUUCAGGAAGCUGAGGUGGGAGGAUCACUUGAGCUGGAGAGGUUGAGGCUGCAGUGAGCAGUGAUCGCACCACUGCACUCCAGUCUGGGUGACAGAGGGAGACCCUAUCUCGAAAAAAAGGAAAAGAAGAGGAUUUUGCUGGCAAGAUGGCUGAAUAGGAAUAGCUCCGUUCUGCAGCUCCCAG
rnacentral:lncRNA from 1 species